ensembl:lncRNA
AUGCUGAAAUUUUAUGUCGCACAUAUAGUAGACACACACACACACACACACACACACACACACACACACACACACAGAUUUUACCCUCCUGUGGCUCCAUUGACUCAUGGCAUAUUAAUGUCUCAUGGAGUUGGUAUAAUAAGUAAAAAGCAGUGUUGUCACCUACCUCUGUUUCUGCUGACACGUUCCUUCUACUCACAGACAUGGAGGAUGGUGUCAUGUCAGAGGAGCUUGAUGAUUGGUGAGGACAGAAAGGGUCUUUCAGCAAGUUUAGUCAGUGUUUGCCCCUGAAAAAAAUAAAGUCAUUUGCAUCUCAGGUUCAGAAUUAAAUCUCCUUUGAGGUAAUUGCAUGAAUGAAUGCAUUAGUAGAUGAACGAUGGAAUGAAUGAGAAAUACCAGUUAUAUUCUCUUAGGUGUGAGAAAAUUAUUGCUAAUAGUUUUAUAUUCCAUAAAUAAAUGGAUAAAUGUCUGCUGGAACAGAAUGAAAUGGAACACUUUUUUUCAGAAAUUAUGUCAUGUUGAAUUAAAUACAGCAGACUUCAAACAAAGCAUAUUUAUUAAAUCCUGUCAAUCACACCACCAUGGUAAAUAAAUAACCACUUGCCUCAGCCUUCUGACAAUUCUUCCUUCUUCCUCCACAGAUUCAGCUUCAUUUCUAUUACAGGUAACACUUUACAAUACUGUUCCUUGCUUAAUGAAUACCUACACAGGAACAAACAAGCAAUGUUUCACAGCAUAAAAAUAUUAACAUUUUGCUAUUAACCAACAAGACACUCUGAUAUACACAUUUAUUAAUUAAUAGCACUCAGUUGAAUGUGCUAGUUCACUAUUAUUUUUCAUACCUCUCAGAGAAAGUCACUGGGCUACCAUAAUUCUAACAAUACUUAUCAAUGAAAACCUAAUCGUAAUGUACAGAAUCUUCUAACCAUUCAUAAACUCCAUUACCACAUUCAAAUAAGUGCAUCAAGUUAAUCAGAGUUUCUUGUUAGUUAACAGUAGUUAUUAAAAUAGUAGUUAAUAUUGUGUUACUCAUUUGUUUCUGUGUAGUUAUUCAUUAAUGACAAAAGUGUUACCUUAUGUAUUUAAUCACAUGAUGAAUCAAAUUUCCUUUGAUAAAUCCUUUUGAAAAAUAAUACAAUUAAUUUAACUAAGAAAAAAAAGAUUUUCAGAACUCAAUAUAAUAUAUAUAUAUAUAUAUAUAUAUAUUUUUUUUUUUUUUGAAAAUAU